rnacentral:rRNA from 1 species
UGGGGAAUAUUGGACAAUGGGGGCAACCCUGAUCCAGCAAUGCCGCGUGAGUGAUGAAGGCCUUCGGGUUGUAAAGCUCUUUUGUCAGGGACGAUAAUGACGGUACCUGACGAAUAAGCUCCGGCUAACUUCGUGCCAGCAGCCGCGGUAAUACGAAGGGAGCUAGCGUUGUUCGGAAUUACUGGGCGUAAAGGGCGCGUAGGCGGUCUUAUAAGUUUGGUGUGAAAGCCCUGGGCUUAACCUAGGAAUAGCAUUGGAUACUGUAAGACUUGAGACCGAGAGAGGGAAAUGGAAUUGCGAGUGUAGAGGUGAAAUUCGUAGAUAUUCGCAAGAACACCAGUGGCGAAGGCGAUUUCCUGGCUCGGUACUGACGCUAAGGCGCGAAAGCGUGGGGAGCAAACAGGAUUAGAUACCCCCGUAGUCC